rnacentral:rRNA from 1 species
UGGGGAAUAUUGCACAAUGGGCGCAAGCCUGAUGCAGCCAUGCCGCGUGUAUGAAGAAGGCCUUCGGGUUGUAAAGUACUUUCAGCGGGGAGGAAGGGAGUAAAGUUAAUACCUUUGCUCAUUGACGUUACCCGCAGAAGAAGCACCGGCUAACUCCGUGCCAGCAGCCGCGGUAAUACGGAGGGUGCAAGCGUUAAUCGGAAUUACUGGGCGUAAAGCGCACGCAGGCGGUUUGUUAAGUCAGAUGUGAAAUCCCCGGGCUCAACCUGGGAAGUGCAUCUGAUACUGGCAAGCUUGAGUCUCGUAGAGGGGGGUAGAAUUCCAGGUGUAGCGGUGAAAUGCGUAGAGAUCAGGAGGAAUACCGGUGGCGAAGGCGGCCCCCUGGACGAAGACUGACGCUCAGGUGCGAAAGCGUGGGGAGCAAACAGG